rnacentral:rRNA from 1 species
AUUGAACGCUGGCGGCAGGCCUAACACAUGCAAGUCGAGCGGAGCGGCGGACGGGUGAGUAAUGCCUAGGAAUCUGCCUGGUAGUGGGGGAUAACGUCCGGAAACGGGCGCUAAUACCGCAUACUAUCAGAUGAGCCUAGGUCGGAUUAGCUAGUUGGUGGGGUAAAGGCCUAGCAAGGCGAAGAUCCGUAACUGGGCUGAGAGGAGGAUCAGUCACACUGGAACUGAUACACGGUCCAUACUCCUACGGGAGGAAGCAUUGGGAAUUAUGGGACAAUGGGCGAAAGCCUGAUCCAGCCAGGCCGCGUGGUUGAAGAAGUUCUUCGGAUUGUAAAGCACUUUAAGUUGGGAGGCGUUACCUACAGAAUAAGCACCGGCUAACUUCGUGCCAGCAGCCGCGGUAAUUC